GAUGAGGUUCAUAUGCUUGAUAUGGAAUGCUUUUCAUACUUGAAUCGUGCCUUGGAAUGUUCACUGUCUCCAAUUGUGAUUUUUGCCACUAACAGAGGCAUUUGUACUGUCAGAGGAACAGAUAUGGUUAGUCCACAUGGCAUUCCAGUUGACUUGUUAGAUCGGUUGGUGAUUGUCAGAACUGAAACUUAUGGUCCAGCUGAAAUGAUACAGAUAUUAGCUAUACGUGCUCAGGUGGAGGGACUAGAAAUAGAUGAAGAGAGCCUUGCGUAUUUGGGAGAGAUUGGACAACAAGCUUCUUUAAGGCAUGCUGUUCAGCUUCUAUCUCCAGCUAGUGUAGUCGCCAAAAUGAAUGGUCGUGAUAAAAUCUGCAAGGUGGAUCUCGACGAAGUGAAUUCAUUGUACCUAGAUGCUAAGUCUUCUGCAAGACUUCUUCAAGAGCAGCAGGAUAGAUACAUCUCAUAAUAAAUUGCAAGUCAACUCGACUCUACUCGAAUGGAGGAGACAUAAGUUCUACAAAUGUGUAAGUUAAGCAUGACAAUUGGUUCCUUGCUUCAAGAUUAGAUUAAAGGCAUUUUGCUAGCAAUGUUUGAACAAGACGAAGGCAAUAGACUCACCUUUCGAUGGACACAAGCCCUCAGGACUGGACACUCGGACUUUGGGAAGUUUACCCUAGGGUAGUCCUUCGUUUGGAGUUGCUUUUUUCGUUUUUCAAAGUGGAAUUCCUCGCUUUCAUCUAUGACGUGUGUCAAACUCAUCUUUUGUUGUUGCCAAGUGGAAUGAUUCAUUCAACCUCGAUAUCAGUUACCAACACAUCAGAGUGUCAAAUGUGAAUUCUGAUACACUUAGCUGUAAAUGCAUAUAUGAUGUAGCAUUCUUGCACUAAUGGCUGUUCAUGUCAAAGAUAGUUACAUUGUCCCAAACCUUAUAAAGGACAACUCG
rnacentral:misc_RNA from 1 species